rnacentral:sRNA from 2 species
GAGAGUCAACCGCUGAGUCACCCCGCAGGGGGUGAGCCGGGGACCCAACUGGGGCCGCAAGGCCUCGCCUGGGGUGAAUCGCCGCGCCUGAAGCAGCUCGUCAGGCAACGCGUAGGGCAUCUUCCAGCCCGAACCCGACAGCUAACCCGGUAAGCGCAGGGAGACAAAAG